rnacentral:rRNA from 1 species
CUACAGAGGGUGCGAGCGUUAAUCGGAAUUACUGGGCGUAAAGCGCGCGUAGGCGGCUUAUUAAGUCAGAUGUGAAAUCCCCGGGCUCAACCUGGGAACUGCAUCUGAUACUGGUAAGCUAGAGUUUUGGAGAGGGAAGUAGAAUUUCAGGUGUAGCGGUGAAAUGCAUAGAGAUCUGAAGGAAUACCAGUGGCGAAGGCGACUUCCUGGCCUAAAACUGACGCUGAGGUGCGAAAGCGUGGGUAGCAAACGGGAUUAGAAACCCUAGUAGUCC